GCGUCAGUAACUCAUUGGAUAGAGUUCCAGACUCCGACUCUGGGGGUAGCAGGUUCGAAUCCUGUCUGACGCA
rnacentral:tRNA from 1 species